rnacentral:lncRNA from 1 species
UGAGAAGAAUAUAAUUUAAUUAUUUAAUUUCAAGAAAAGUGACUUAGCAUUUCAUAACAGUGAUUAGACACAGGACUGAGAUAAAUGAUAAUACAAAUUAUGUUAUCACUAUGAUAUUCAUCCUAGACGGAUGCUACAAAUUGGCACAAGGCCCCACAUAUGGCAAUAAGCUCACUUUUCAACAAUACAAUGUGCGUAUUAGCUGCCAAUAAAUUAUGUUUAGCACUCGGGAUGGACCAAUUCACAAUACCUAAUCAUAUACAAUCCCGCAUCUGCCAUUGGGUGCGAGUAACACCCUAACAUAGUGUCACAAUGUGAUAAACCGGGGUUUCAAACCCUCGGGCUAUCAUCUAUACAAACUACUCACCUCUAGCUGGCCGUAGACUAGUCCGCAAUGCCCUUUCCUAUUGUAUCGACCUCCUCGCGCGUUGAAUCUAGCCAAAAUCACAACGAAUACAUCAAUAUGGGUUAAAGAAACAUAACCCAAUAAAUAAUACUCGAAAAAUACUAAAAUUUAUGGAGUUGGUAAAACCCGAGCCCCGGGCCCACUUCUCGAAAAAUUACGAAAGUCACAUCAAUGGGUUCCUUAUCUCGCCAAGAGUCUGUACAUGUAAAUUUAUCAAAAACGGAGUUCAUUUACCCCUCUAAGACUCGCAUCUAAACUCUCUUGGGUUUCAAGCCCUAACCCCUAUUUUUAGGGAAGAUUGCAUAUGGGAGAAAGCUUAAAAAUGACACUAAUUUGGAAAAAAUAUAUUUUUUAUCUUUUUGAAAAAUGAUGGAAAAUUUAAAAUCUUUUGGAUAUUCUUUCUCUUUUUUAAUUUUUGGAAAACGAUGGAAAAAUGUAAAAAAUCGAUUAUGGGAAAAUAAUGGGAAAGUGCAAAAUCUUUUUGAAUUUUUAUUAUCAUUUUUUUUUUGAAUUUUUGGAAAAUAAUAGAAAAGUGCAAAAUCUUUUGGAUUUUAUUUUUUAAUUUCAAUUAUUUUUUUUGGUUUUUAUCGAAAAAGUUGUGAAAGAAAACUAAUAAUCGGGCCCUACUUGCUUCAUUUCCCCCUUCUUUCCCAAACAUCAGUCCGCCAAAUGACCCUCUUGCCCUCAAAGAUGCAAUAUGUAUCACAAAGGGAUGAUUGAAUGUCUUUUUGGGUCGCGGGCCCAUUUUUGACAAAAUUUGGAUGGGCUUCAUACAAAGGGACACGGUACCUAGGACUGAGCCUUGCUAGGUCUAAAUGACAUGAUGCAAAUAAAAUUGACCUAAAGGUUGACCUAAGUUUGGGGUUCACUAACAAGGCAAUUCAGGGCGGCACGUGGUCGAUGGCGGCUGCUCUAGCUUUCCGCCCACUCCACGCUCCGACGCCAACCCCCAAAAGCAUGGGUGACUCACAAAAAGGCCGUGUACGCUCAAACGUACUCCGGAAGACUUGUUGUAGAAAGAAGACUCAGGGUUAUGCAGAAGAUGACAGUUAUAAAGCAGUAAACACAUAAAGCAAAAACUGUAAACACAUAAACAAGUAGCAAAUAACAAAAUAUAAAACAUAAUAAAAAUUAGGCAAAGCUAAUGAAAAAGCAUAAAAAAAACUCAACCAAAUAUUCCAAAAGCCAAUAAGAUCAAGUAUCAGCUCGAACCUGCAACUCCCCAGCAGAGUCGUCAGAUGUCACGCCCCUUUUUAAAACAAACCCUCACUUAAUCCGCUUAAAUUAAUAAAAAGAUUUAAAUAAAGCUUGAAAAGGGUUUUUAAUUUUGAAAGUGACAAAAAUGGUGUUCAAAAGGAACUAAACUCAGAGUCACCAUCUAACAUUGGAUUUCGAUGUGCCAGGCCACCGGUUCUUAAAAAAUAUUUCCCUUUUAAAACACUUGGACUCAAACCUAAGUCUGCACCAGAGAUUCGGGUAAGGGGGUCAUUUGACUCGGGGAGAAGGCGUGAGGCACUCCCCAAGUCCCGAGAAGGUCAUGGUUUCGUACUCGAUCAGGUUGACUUUUAAAACAUUCAAAUUGAGGUAAAACACAAAGAAAUAAAGUAAACACACAAGAGGCUCUAGAUCGUCCCCGCCUAAAUAAAUGAAAAGGAAAAGAAGAGAAAAGUCCUAAGCUAAGCUAUACUACGACUUCUCCACCAUGCUCACCAAGGCCUCCAACAUAUUUACAUAGUUCUUCGGGGCAUACCCCGGAUAAUAAUAUAUACAAACUUCACGAGGCAUUCCCCAGAUAAAUUUAACUACAGAAACGACCUCUCGCCUCAAAUUAACAAAAGUUCUAAAGUUUACCCGGUGUGGUUGGCCUAGACAUACCACUAGAGAAUAAUACAACGAGAUAAAUAAAUAAAUAAAUAAAUAAAUAAAUAAAAAGAACAAAAUAAAAGAAAAAGAAAAAAAAUCUAAAUCAUGCUUAAAUUCUUUUGGCUUAUUUAUCCCAAACCCCCACGAUCCAAUUCGAUAGCCAAAACAACAAAAUGCCAAUUUACUUCACAUUUUAGACCAACUCAAUUUUAGCCUAUAAAGGUUAUGUCUCCAUUUUUAUUAAAAUAACCAAUAUUACUAACUGAAAAUCAUGUGCUUGUUAGAUACAAAAGUGAAACAAAUCGAGGUAAUAGUGCACCAAUCAAAACAGAUAAUAGGAAGAUAAAUAGUAUAACAUGGGUGGAAGAGGAGUGAACCUUCAUGUAGCAAAAUUCCUUUCUGAAUAUUGAUUUAAUACAAACCUCCGCAUAAGCUCAUCUAGCAACAGUGAAACACAAAAGCAAGAUUCAGCAGUGGCCUUGUAACCGAAACUCGAGACCUAAGACCAAAAAAGCGAAGGAGACCUCAAUGGGAACCGCGAUAAAAUUCAACAACGAACUUAAAACCUUUGGAGACAGGUUUUUGCGGCUGGUUUGGAAUCAAGUUUUUGCGAAUGGUUUUAGAGGUGAUUUACAUCUUGUUUAUCGGCUCUUUCGGGGUUGUUUUAUUCUGGGUUUGGGGUUAUUUUUAUGGAGAUUUGGAGCUGUUUUGGAGUGUUUUUGAUGAGGUUUUGGAGCUGGUUAGCGGGUGGCGUUAAUGGCUGGUUGAAGAUGGCUGGAGACGGGUGGGCGACGCCUAAAAGGAUGGUCGUUGGAAGGGGCUCGCUGGCGGCGUUGGGGCUGUGAGAGGACAGCGGCGCGGAUGUUUGUGGCGUAAGGUUGCUAAAUGUUCUGGGUGGUCCAGCAAUGGAGGUGAAGGAAGGUAGCGGCACCGUCUUGGAUAGGACGGUGGCAACUGUUGUGUUUUUGUUCUCUAGGGUUUCUUGUUGUCGUAGCUUCGGGGAGAAGAAAGGUUUGUCUAGGGUUUUUCUUGUUUUCCUCGGGUAGAAGAAGAAAAGAUGGGUUUUUCUUUAGAUUAUGAAGAAAGAAGAAGAAAGGUCUUUUUGGGUU